AGCGUAGGCGGAACUACAAGACAGGGGUCAAAUCUCCGGGCUCAACCUGGAACUUGCCUUUGUGACUGUGGUUCUUGAGCAUGGUAGAGGUUGGCGGAAUUUCCGGUGUAGCGGUGGAAUGCGUAGAGAUCGGAAAGAACACCAGAGGCGAAGGCGGCCAACUGGACCAAUACUGACGCUGAGGCUCGAAAGCGUGGGGAGCAAACAGGAUUAGAUACCCUGGUAGUCCACGCUGUAAACGAUGAACACUAGAUGUCGGGAGGGGUUCCUUCCGGUGUCGUCGCUAACGCAGUAAGUGUUCCGCCUGGGGAGUACGCUCGCAAGGGUGAA
rnacentral:rRNA from 1 species